rnacentral:rRNA from 1 species
AAAUUGAAGAGUUUGAUCAUGGCUCAGAUUGAACGCUGGCGGCAGGCCUAACACAUGCAAGUCGAACGGUAGCACAGAGAGCUUGCUCUCGGGUGACGAGUGGCGGACGGGUGAGUAAUGUCUGGGAAACUGCCUGAUGGAGGGGGAUAACUACUGGAAACGGUAGCUAAUACCGCAUAACGUCGCAAGACCAAAGAGGGGGACCUUCGGGCCUCUUGCCAUCAGAUGUGCCCAGAUGGGAUUAGCUAGUAGGUGGGGUAACGGCUCACCUAGGCGACGAUCCCUAGCUGGUCUGAGAGGAUGACCAGCCACACUGGAACUGAGACACGGUCCAGACUCCUACGGGAGGCAGCAGUGGGGAAUAUUGCACAAUGGGCGCAAGCCUGAUGCAGCCAUGCCGCGUGUAUGAAGAAGGCCUUCGGGUUGUAAAGUACUUUCAGCGGGGAGGAAGGUGUUGUGGUUAAUAACCACAGCAAUUGACGUUACCCGCAGAAGAAGCACCGGCUAACUCCGUGCCAGCAGCCGCGGUAAUACGGAGGGUGCAAGCGUUAAUCGGAAUUACUGGGCGUAAAGCGCACGCAGGCGGUCUGUCAAGUCGGAUGUGAAAUCCCCGGGCUCAACCUGGGAACUGCAUUCGAAACUGGCAGGCUAGAGUCUUGUAGAGGGGGGUAGAAUUCCAGGUGUAGCGGUGAAAUGCGUAGAGAUCUGGAGGAAUACCGGUGGCGAAGGCGGCCCCCUGGACAAAGACUGACGCUCAGGUGCGAAAGCGUGGGGAGCAAACAGGAUUAGAUACCCUGGUAGUCCACGCCGUAAACGAUGUCGACUUGGAGGUUGUUCCCUUGAGGAGUGGCUUCCGGAGCUAACGCGUUAAGUCGACCGCCUGGGGAGUACGGCCGCAAGGUUAAAACUCAAAUGAAUUGACGGGGGCCCGCACAAGCGGUGGAGCAUGUGGUUUAAUUCGAUGCAACGCGAAGAACCUUACCUACUCUUGACAUCCAGAGAACUUAGCAGAGAUGCUUUGGUGCCUUCGGGAACUCUGAGACAGGUGCUGCAUGGCUGUCGUCAGCUCGUGUUGUGAAAUGUUGGGUUAAGUCCCGCAACGAGCGCAACCCUUAUCCUUUGUUGCCAGCGGUCCGGCCGGGAACUCAAAGGAGACUGCCAGUGAUAAACUGGAGGAAGGUGGGGAUGACGUCAAGUCAUCAUGGCCCUUACGAGUAGGGCUACACACGUGCUACAAUGGCGCAUACAAAGAGAAGCGACCUCGCGAGAGCAAGCGGACCUCAUAAAGUGCGUCGUAGUCCGGAUUGGAGUCUGCAACUCGACUCCAUGAAGUCGGAAUCGCUAGUAAUCGUAGAUCAGAAUGCUACGGUGAAUACGUUCCCGGGCCUUGUACACACCGCCCGUCACACCAUGGGAGUGGGUUGCAAAAGAAGUAGGUAGCUUAACCUUCGGGAGGGCGCUUACCACUUUGUGAUUCAUGACUGGGGUGAAGUCGUAACAAGGUAACCGUAGGGGAACCUGCGGUUGGAUCACCUCCUUACCUUAAAGAA